rnacentral:SRP_RNA from 1 species
CGACUGUAAUGGUCAAUUUGGUUGAAGGCGCUUGUUACUCCCAGCUAGCCGCACCACUUCCGUUAGAUCCCUCGACGCCGCGCCCACCGAGGAUGCUGCGGUGGCCGCCUAUCCGCUUGGGUAACCAGCGUUGACUAGAUGGUCCUCAGACAUGGAGAGCACACUUCAGGGUGGUCUUACACUGCAGAGUAUCUCCCCCGUCGCAUAGCUCGGUGGAUCACGUCGGCUCGAGGAUGUGGGAUGGUUGGUUGGGAUGGAGAUUGUCAACUCCGUU